rnacentral:sRNA from 1 species
GCUGGGUGCAGUGGUGCAUGCCUGUAAUCCCAGUGGCUCUGGAGGCUGAGGCAGGAGGAUCAUGAGUUCAAAGCCAGCCUCAGUAACUUACAGAGGCACUAAGCAAUUCAGUGAGACCCUAUCUCUA